CCUACGGGAGGCAGCAGUGGGGAAUUUUGGACAAUGGGCGAAAGCCUGAUCCAGCAAUGCCGCGUGAGUGAAGAAGGCCUUCGGGUUGUAAAGCUCUUUUGUCAGGGAAGAAACGGUGAGGGCUAAUAUCUCUUGCUAAUGACGGUACCUGAAGAAUAAGCACCGGCUAACUACGUGCCAGCAGCCGCGGUAAUACGUAGGGUGCAAGCGUUAAUCGGAAUUACUGGGCGUAAAGCGUGCGCAGGCGGUUUUGUAAGUCUGUCGUGAAAUCCCCGGGCUCAACCUGGGAAUUGCGAUGGAGACUGCAAGGCUAGAAUCUGGCAGAGGGGGGUAGAAUUCCACGUGUAGCAGUGAAAUGCGUAGAGAUGUGGAGGAACACCGAUGGCGAAGGCAGCCCCCUGGGUCAAGAUUGACGCUCAUGCACGAAAGACGGUGGGGAGGACGAAACAGGAGUAGAUACCUAGGUAGUACCACCGACCCUAAACCGAACUAGUCUACUAGUUGUUCGGGUUUUAAGUUUAACGUUUAGGUUAACGU
rnacentral:rRNA from 1 species